CACGUAGUUAGCCGGGGCUUCUUGGUCAGGUACCGUCCGGCUGCCCCUUCCGGGGCAGUUUGUCUUCCCUGCUGAUAGAGCUUUACGCGCCGAAACGCUCCUUCACUCACGCGGCGUUGCUGCAUCAGGGUUUCCCCCAUUGUGCAAUAUCCCCCACUGCUGCCUCCCGUAGGAGUUUGGGCCGUGUCUCAGUCCCAAUGCGGCCGUCCACCCUCUCAGGCCGGCUACUGAUCGUCGCUUUGGUAGGCCGUUACCCUGCCAACUGGCUAAUCAGACGCGGGCCCAUCCCGUACCGCCCUCGCGGCCUUCCCGCACAUAGGCAUGCGCCUUUGUGCGCUCAUGCGGUAUUAGCACCUAUUUCUAAGUGUUACUCCCCCUGUACAGGGCAGGUUCGCCCGUACGCCGUUACCGUCCACCCCGUCCGACCACUAGGAUCGGCUACUUGUCUGGUCAUACGUAACUACC
rnacentral:rRNA from 1 species